ensembl:lncRNA
GAUAAUCCGGCACUGCUACGCAGUAAAAUCAAUUGCGCAAUAUGAUAUAGGUUGCCAUAUUGACAAAUGGGUUGAAUAUGGUAUAGUGUAUUUAUUGUGUAAGACAUGAUUGCGUUUCAUACAGAAAUGACAUAACGGAAGGGGGCGGGAGAUGGGUCAGAGAGUACGGGAGAAACCCGGGAAAAACGGGAGAGUUGGCAGGUAUGGUCUGCGUAUUAGAGCGUAUGGGAAAGUUAACGAAAAGUAACAGCCCCAUACACACAUAAUGAAAGGACUAAAGGAGACAUCAAUUAUUUUUCCCUGGACAGCCGUGAGUGUGACGACAAAGGAGAGGUCACUCCAGAGACUGUUCAGAAACCGAAACACCUCAACCAAAAACCUUUCACUUCCAGUCUCCAAAGUAUUUCAUGAGGAGAUGAUUGUUGAUGAUUUUCAUGUGUCACAUCAUGUGACGAGUGGGAAAUCCUCCACCAUAAAAACACUGCUAAUUAUAAUACUACAGUGUCGAUUUGUUGCUGCUACAGACCCCAACUGUCCGUAUAUCCCAAUCAUUAAGGAGUGGGGUGUACCAGCCUGUUACACAGAACUACAUAAGGCAUAUCCUGGAUGGCUAGUGGGGAAGACACAGGCUAAUAGCAUCCCCAGAGAUUUUCGAUUAGAGAUUCCACUCGGCUGUGGUGAUAAGAUCAGCUGUGACGAUCUCCUACGGGCCCUUGUUAACAGCUACUGCAUGAACAGGAAUUGCAGUGAUGAUAAGCCCAAUACGUCUUGCAAUGAAACUAAUAAAAAAACAAAGACGUUGAUUUACUGCUUGAAUGAUAAUUAUUCUAUCUCCUGCCAGGAGCCCCUAGGGUUUCAAAACCCAAGGAUAUAUAUGUUAGUGAAUGAUACAGAUUUCACCCAUAACAUUCAAGGUUGUCUCAUGGACAAGGUGCCAGGUACAACAGCAUCCACCACCUGUACUAUGACCACCACCACCACGACAUCUCGUAGUGCACCAACAACAGUUACCCCCGGCAGUACACCCACCUCCUCCACCCCCACCACAUCUUCUAUCAUCACAGAUAGUACACAGUCCCCAACGCCUUCCCAUGCCUCUCACACCUCAGAACAAUUUAGUGCGACAUCUGGAUAUGGUAUGCUGGUCAUACUGUUGACAUCUCUGGGUUUAAACAUAACAUUGUCAUGGUUGUUACUGAAGCAGAGAAGCCGCCACCAACAGCAACCCAUAAACCUAAGUCUAGACUAUGUUGGAGCUCCUGGAGAAGCUGAAGCAGAGUCGUUAGCGGGUGAUUCCCUGCCCUAGAACUGGCUGCCUACUCCAGUGUUCUAGAGACAUCAGUAACAGUGUUCCAGAGACGGCAGAUGGAUUACAGAGGACGGGCCUGCUGUACUCCCAACACUGUCUCCAUGAGAGACUGCCAAUCCACCAGUCUGUGACUACAGAGACUGUUACUGUCAAACACCUGCAUCAGGACACCCUCAGACCGGUCUUUGGCUAUGGACUAGAGACCUCAACAGGAGAACCAACCUCAGUCACAACAUGAGCCCCACACCAUUCCACAGACAUUGACAGACCUGCAUGUGAAGCAUGUUCAGAUACUAUGGCACAUUAGGGCCCGUUUCACACUGCCUGCGUUGAGUGUGUGUGGUGGCUGCGUUACCUGUUGAUUUUCAUGUCAGUGCCCUUGCUAACAGGUUAGAACAUGCACAAUGCUUGACUGAGAUGUGCAGUCAUAUCGAGUCGAGUUUCAGUGUGGCGACUAUUUGUUACACGUGAGAUAAGAUAAUCUCAGUAAAAAAGACAUGUUGACAUUAUACCACCAACCAACAUUAUAACUGGCGUCUUUCAUUGCAGUUUCGAGGUAUGGGCUAUAUCGCACAGACAUGACAGAAAUAUAAAUGUCCCUCUCUCACUUAUCAUGCUUAUAAUAUAAUAUAAUAUAAGAGUAUAAUAUUCUCUAAUUAAUCAUGUCUGAAUUGUGUCUUGUUUCUUUCUGACUAACUAUUGAGUUUGACAUAGUUCAUGUUUACAAAUGAUAUGUUGCGGAGAAACUAGCAACGAUCCACAAACAGGCGUCGAGAGGCUGAAUGUGAAGUUUAUUUGUGUUAUCUAAACUUUUACGCAAUCAGAACUUGUUGUGUGUUUGGUAGCACUCCCAACUCCUGGGGGGUAUUCGUCGUAGCUCGCUAAGCGGUUUAGCGAGCUAAUUUUCAGGCUAAGAUAAAAAAAACGCCCCUCUUUUUGGUUCGUGGAAGCAACUUUUGAUAAAUCACCAUAGUUACAUAUCGAUUAGCACUAACCU